rnacentral:lncRNA from 1 species
GAAGCAAGAGCAUAGUGUGGAGGCUUCGGCAUUGACCAUGAGAGAGGACGUCAGGGAUACAACCCAGAAAAGGAAAAGAGGAAGUGGUAACCAAGUGCUCUCCUCAAGAGGAGGUGGCCCAUUCCCUGCAGACUCCCUGAAUUAGCAGGGGAGGAGCUGGAGGUGGCUGGGAAUGCUGUAGCUGCUGCCAAGGAGACAGUCAGAAAGUACUGUUUUGUCGUGGAGUUAUUGAGAACCAACGUGAUCUGGCCCUGAGAAAUGCCACUUAAGGACUGCUUUUUUAAAAAUAGUUGAAUCAUUUAAAGCACAGAGAAUGCUUGUUUAAAUCUACUUCUGAUAGUUUCCGGGAACACUGAAUUUGCCCGGCAGCCCUGUGGAGGAACCCCAUCACUGUCGGGAAUGAGUGAGUCGUAGACAAGAGACAGGAGCUGCUUUUCCAGCCGCGGAUCAACCAUUCGAGAAUAUUUAUUAGGAACUGAUUCCAAGCUUUCAUUGUGCUUGGGGCAGGUUUACUUAAAGAAAAAAAAUGUGGUUGUCAUGGAAACUGAAGACAACUCCAGUCCUCCCCGGAUCUACAAGCCCUCUGGCCAAAGGACAGCCUCCAGACAAAGAGCCGUGGAGCUUCAGCACUAUUCUAAGGCCAGAUUUCUGGCUGUGGGUGUGACUGCCACCAUCACAUUCCGGUUCUGCCCUGUGCCGUGCAGUCAGGACCUUGCUGAUGCAGAGGAAGAUACGGGCUCCAGCAGGCGCCACCCCUCAAGGUCCCAGGACCACUGUGAGAAGCAGUCAAAGAACAUGGCUAUCGUCACCCCACAGUUCCGGGUGAGGAAACUGAGGCCCAGACUGGUCAAGUGGCACUUUCAACCUCACUCACAGAACUGGGUAACCAAAAAGGGUUCUGGAGUUUACUUCCCCCAACUCCUCACUUAGUACGCGCUUUAUGAAGUCCUGCUACCUCUCUGUGAGGGGCAGCAGAGAGGCUGUGGCAAGCUGGGCUUCUCCAGGAAGCUCCUAUUCAGCCGCCACUGCUCACCCAGA